rnacentral:rRNA from 1 species
UACGUAGGCAGCAAGCGUUGUUCGGAGUUACUGGGCGUAAAGGGUGUGUAGGCGGUCUUCUAAGUUUGGUGUGAAAUCUCCCGGCUCAACUGGGAGGGUGCGCCGAAAACUGGGAGGCUAGAGUACUGGAUGGGAGAGUGGAAUUCCUGGUGUAGCGGUGAAAUGCGUAGAUAUCAGGAGGAACACCGGUGGUUUAGACGGCUCUCUGGACAGUAACUGACGCUGAGACACGAAAGCGUGGGUAGCAAACAGG